rnacentral:snRNA from 1 species
UGUUCAUGUCAACAGCAAUAUACUAAAAUUGGAACAAUACAGAGAAGAUUAACAUGGCCCCUGCACAAGGGUGACUUGCAAAUUUGUGAAAUGUUCCAUAUUUUU